AGUGAACGCUGGCGGUAGGCCUAACACAUGCAAGUCGAACGGCAGCACAGUAAGAGCUUGCUCUUACGGGUGGCGAGUGGCGGACGGGUGAGGAAUACAUCGGAAUCUACUUUUUCGUGGGGGAUAACGUAGGGAAACUUACGCUAAUACCGCAUACGACCUACGGGUGAAAGCAGGGGAUCUUCGGACCUUGCGCGAUUGAAUGAGCCGAUGUCGGAUUAGCUAGUUGGCUGGGUAAAGGCCCACCAAGGCGACGAUCCGUAGCUGGUCUGAGAGGAUGAUCAGCCACACUGGAACUGAGACACGGUCCAGACUCCUACGGGAGGCAGCAGUGGGGAAUAUUGGACAAUGGGCGCAAGUCUGAUCCAGCCAUACCGCGUGGGUGAAGAAGGCCUUCGGGUUGUAAAGCCCUUUUGUUGGGAAAGAAAAGCAGCAGGUUAAUACCCCGCUGUUCUGACGGUACCCAAAGAAUAAGCACCGGCUAACUUCGUG
rnacentral:rRNA from 1 species